UCGAACUCACGCCGGGAUACUCGUACCUAUAGAUAUCCCGGUUGUAGGUAUAUAUCUAGGUAGGUAUAUACCUACACCUAACCGGGAUAGAUAUAGAUAGAUAGAUAUCGAGUCCAAGCCAUGUAGAUAUGGUCAUGGUAAUUAAAGCAGUGAUUUCUUGAUUUUAUAUUGCUUAUAAAUACGUUAUCUCGGCACGAUUUAUGGUUAUCUGCACAUAAUGUAAAUGAUACAACUUCAAGCUACAUUUUAUUACUAUACUGCUUGCUUCCCACGGCAGUGCUUAUUAUUGUCCUCGCAAUUCUGUUUCCGUAAAAUAGUUUUCGAAUUAUAUCCUUUUAAUUUUUACGUUUAAUUGGUGUGGGGUUUUACAAUAUUACAAUAUUUUUUGUUAUUUCUGAAGACAACUGAGACUACACGAUAAAUAAAUCUCUUUAAAUCUUUUUAGAUUAUAUAAAAAAUACAACUUUGGUUUAUUGUAUGUCUCUCAGAAGCAGAUUGAAGACGCAAGAACGUUACUAUUUGUAUGUAUUGAAGAUUAUUUUUCUUUCUAAUAUUUUUGACGCAGAAGAUUUCUUCGGGUACCCAGAUCGAUAGCUCGUCUGUGACUCGUCCCCACACAUGUUCGUAGAACUCAAGGCAGUAUUACUUAGGUAGUUGGUCAGAGGCUUUCGGCGCGGGGUCACGUAGGUAUGUUAAGCAGCAGCCUUGGGUAAACAAAGGACAUUUUGCGGAUGCCGUGAGAACGCCAGCCACCACCAACCUUCGCGGGUUGACGCCAGCUGAUUCACUCGUCUUCGGGCUAGGGUUGUCUAUGGUGGGAAAAUUUCUAGUACUUGUCUUCUUGUAUUACAUUUAUUAUUGUGUUUCCUGUUUCAGAAAGUACUACAGCGAUAACAAUAAACGGUAAUAAAAUAUUUAUUUAAAUCACUAAUGAGUGUCUAAGCUUGGAUAUAUUUUAGUAUUCAUCGAAACUAAGAAUGUUAGAUGCGGAAUAGACAGUUUUUCAUGCUGAAAAGAUAGAUAUAUAUGGUUCAUAAUGUCCCUUUCCCAAAAUGUGCCUCCUCAAAUAUACCUUCUACCCGACUUCGGAUAGUUAGCUAAAGCUAAGCUACUUUAUGGCUUACCUUCCAAAUACCAGUUUCGGGGAAUUAUUCUUAUCAUAGCGGAAGUUUAUUGUAAUGGUUAGAUAUAUGGACAUAAAUACAAAUAAAUCAACAUAUAAAAAAUAUAACUUUUAUUUUAUUGGUAUCUACAUUAUGUUUCAUCGAAUAUUGUUUUAAAUAUAUUACAUGAAUGACAUAACUUUAAUUAUUAUAAUAUGACUCCAACCUUACGGUCUUUGGACAACUACAUUAAGGAAUGUAUUCAAUAAAAUCAAUUAUGCAUUAUUA